rnacentral:lncRNA from 1 species
UCUGCUAUUCAUUCAAGUCUUUCUCAGUCACCUCUGUUUGUCUUUCAUCUGAUUUACAGAUGUGCUAAAGUUCCCAAAAUAAAUAGGGAUAUUCAGUGAACCACAAUAUCUGGAAGAUAAAGCAAGUGCUUACCUGUUGGCAUUGCCAUCUGCUCUGUUUUGGAUUGGAGGAAGCUGCUUACUCUGGAGCAUGUUCACUUCUGUUGAAAUGUUGCUGUUGAAAGCUGCAUGUAGAUCUUUUGAGAGGCCACACGCUUGAGUCUCUAUUUUUAAAUUUUCAUGACAGCUUUUACACUCUCCUGAGCAUGCAGGAUCUAAGUUUCUACUGAAGCGUGUAAUUACCAGCAAUGACUUAGCACCCGCCAU